GAUGAACGCUGGCGUCGUGCCUAAUACAUGCAAGUCGAGCGAACAGACGAGGAGCUUGCUCCUCUGACGUUAGCGGCGGACGGGUGAGUAACACGUGGAUAACCUACCUAUAAGACUGGGAUAACUUCGGGAAACCGAAGCUAAUACCGGAUAAUAUAUUGAACCGCAUGGUUCAAUAGUGAAAGACGGUUUUGCUGUCACUUAUAGAUGGAUCCGCGCCGCAUUAGCUAGUUGGUAAGGUAACGGCUUACCAAGGCAACGAUGCGUAGCCGACCUGAGAGGGUGAUCGGCCACACUGGAACUGAGACACGGUCCAGACUCCUACGGGAGGCAGCAGUAGGGAAUCUUCCGCAAUGGGCGAAAGCCUGACGGAGCAACGCCGCGUGAGUGAUGAAGGUCUUCGGAUCGUAAAACUCUGUUAUUAGGGAAGAACAAAUGUGUAAGUAACUAUGCACGUCUUGACGGUACCUAAUCAGAAAGCCACGGCUAACUACGUG
rnacentral:rRNA from 1 species